rnacentral:rRNA from 1 species
GAUUAACGCUGGCGGCGUGCAUAACACAUGCAAGUCGAACGAUGAAACUUAGUCGACUUCUUCGGAAAGACACUAAGCGGAUUAGUGGCGAACGGAUGAGUAACGCGUGAGUAACCUGCCUUACACAAGGGGAUAGCCUUUGGAAACGAAGAAUAAUACCCUAUAAAACUAUAAAAGCACAUGCUAUAAUGGUCAAAGUGAUAGCGGUGUAAGAUGGACUUGCGUCUGAUUAGCUAGUUGGUGAGAUAAAAGCUGACCAAGGCAACGAUCAGUAGCCGGCUUGAGAGAGUGUACGGCCACAUUGGGACUGAGACACGGCCCAGACUCCUACGGGAGGUAGCAGUGGGGAAUUUUGCACAAUGGGGGAAACCCUGAUGCAGCGACGCCGCGUGAUUGAGAAGGCCUUCGGGUUGUAAAAAUCUUUUGUAUAGGAAGAAAAUGACAGUACUAUACGAAUAAGGUCCGGCUAAUUACGUG